GGGGUGAUAGCUCAGUUGGUAGAGCACAUGCCUUGCACGCAUGGGGUCGCGAGUUCGAGUCUCGUUCGCUCCA
rnacentral:tRNA from 1 species